UUCAUAGUGUUCCAGGCA
rnacentral:misc_RNA from 1 species